CUCUACCAAUAACAGCUAGGUUCCCUCCCCACUCAGACCCUCUCUACCAAUAACAGCUAGGUUCCCUCCUCCACUCAGACCCUCUCUACCAAUAACAGCUAGGUUCCCUCCUCCACUCAGACCCUCUCUACCAAUAACAGCUAGGUUCCCUCCCCACUCAGACCCUCUCUACCAAUAACAGCUAGGUUCCCUCCUCCACUCAGACCCUCUCUACCAAUAACAGCUAGGUUCCCUCCCCACUCAGAACCUCUCUACCAAUAACAGCUAGGUUCCCUCCUCCACUCAGACCCUCUCUACCAAUAACAGCUAGGUUCCCUCCUCCACUCAGACCCUCUCUACCAAUAACAGCUAGGUUCCCUCCCCACUCAGAACCUCUCUACCAAUAACAGCUAGGUUCCCUCCUCCACUCAGACCCUCUCUACCAAUAACAGCUAGGUUCCCUCCCCACUCAGAACCUCUCUACCAAUAACAGCUAGGUUCCCUCCUCCACUCAGACCCUCUCUACCAAUAACAGCUAGGUUCCCUCCCCACUCAGACCCUCUCUACCAAUAACAGCUAGGUUCCCUCCCCACUCAGACCCUCUCUACCAAUAACAGCUAGGUUCCCUCCCCACUCAGACCCUCUCUACCAAUAACAGCUAGGUUCCCUCCCCACUCAGACCCUCUCUACCAAUAACAGCUAGGUUCCCUCCCCACUCAGACCCUCUCUACCAAUAACAGCUAGGUUCCCUCCUCCACUCAGACCCUCUCUACCAAUAACAGCUAGGUUCCCUCCUCCACUCAGAACCUCUCUACCA